AUUGAACGCUGGCGGCAUGCCUUACACAUGCAAGUCGAACGGUAACGGGCCUUCGGGUGCCGACGAGUGGCGAACGGGUGAGUAAUACAUCGGAACGUGCCCGAUCGUGGGGGAUAACGAGGCGAAAGCUUUGCUAAUACCGCAUACGAUCUACGGUUGAAAGCAGGGGACCUCAAGGCCUUGCGCGGACGGAGCGGCCGAUGGCAGAUUAGGUAGUUGGUGGGUUAAAAGCUUACCAAGCCGACGAUCUGUAGCUGGUCUGAGAGGAUGAUCAGCCACACUGGGACUGAGACACGGCCCAGACUCCUACGGGAGGCAGCAGUGGGGAAUUUUGGACAAUGGGCGCAAGCCUGAUCCAGCCAUGCCGCGUGCAGGAUGAAGGCCUUCGGGUUGUAAACUGCUUUUGUACGGAACGAAAAGCCUUCUUUUAAUACAGGAGGGUCAUGACGGUACCGUAAGAAUAAGCACCGGCUAACUACGUG
rnacentral:rRNA from 1 species